UUUUCCAAUAAGUGUAGUCCGUCCCAUUGAAAAAGGGAGGACAAAUGAGAGAGUGACCCUCUUGAAAGCCGUAAAGAGCCAUUUCUAUUUGGGUGUUAAACCAAGGUAGAAAAACGUGGCUCUGAUACCAAUUGUUAGGAUCGGAGUGGCACUAAGAGGGGGGGGUGAAUUAGUGCAGCGGUGAAGUGCGAUAAACUUUUCACGAUUUAAACACUUUUCGAAAACUUUGUA
rnacentral:lncRNA from 1 species